AAUGUGACCUGUUUAUAUGUACUAUGUAAUCAAAUAAAUCCGUAAUUAGUCAACUCAGAUAAACUUUUGUAACAAAUAAUUUAUGUGACUUUAAAAUUUACGCGAACCAAUGAUGACAGUGUCGAUGUAGGUAAUUUUUAGAGAUACGUUGUCAAUUCCACUUGAUUUCAUGGCUCUCAUCCGAGCUGACUGGUGCUUUUAUUGUGAGGAAAAACAUUUUCAGAAAACCUGCACAUUCGGGCAAGUGGUACAAAUUCAACCGACAUUACACCGGAAGGCAUGUAAAAAAUGCCCAUCUUUUCAAUUUCCACGUCCUUAGGUUUGGGGGCGUCCGGUAGAGGGCGCAAUUCGAAAUUCAGGAUAAUCGACGCCAGCGCAUACCGCAUGGUGUAGUUGGCGAAGCGCAUGCCUGAAAUAGUUAAAGACGAUGUUAAUAACUUCAUUUCAUUUAAAAUACAUUGAUUUACUCGUAUUAAAACCUGUUAUUUUAAUUUCGAUUCCAUCAUUAAGCCAUACAAUUGAACGUGGCCUUUCAGCUGUUUCAAGAACGUUGGCUCUGUCUACCCCGCAAGGUAUAUAGACGUGAUUAUAUACAUACAUAAGUAAAGAAAUACAUACCUAUACACACUCUUGGACCUUCUCCAAAUGGCAAAUAUGUGUUGGGUUGAAUGUCUUCUUCGUUCUCAGGCAGAAAUCUAUCAGGAUUGAACUUCUCAGGUUCUGGAAAGUAUUUGGGGUCCACGUGCAUGCCAAUAGCAUUGACAUAGACCGGGGUUCCCGCGGGAAUUGUUAAGUUCUCAUCUAUUUUGUAAUCUUUGGCUGCGAUCCGGUCUAAGAAACCCAUUGGCGGAUAUUUUCUUAGUGUCUCUGGAAAAUGAGCAGGAAUUGUAAAUUGUGCUGAGGGUUUUCAAAAUCUUCUAGCAUGAGUUUGAGCCAAGAAUAAAUGUGAGUCUUCUUCCUCCUGGCUUUAGUCCCGGUUGCAUCCUAACCACUCUGGAGAAGAACCCGGGGUGUGCCUUUGACCGUAGAUCCUGGAAUGGGUGAGUCAGGUUUUUACACGAAGCGACUCCCAUCUGACCUCCACUACCUUUCCAGGGAAACCUAACUCGUAUUGCAUCCGUGGUAACACAUCCAGUUGCCUGAAUGUGCAGGUUUCCUCACGAUGUUUUCCCUCGCCGUAAGAGCAUCGUUCAGUAUUCAAACUAAUGUACAUAAGGAAAAUAUUGGUACAUGGCCGAGCUGGGAUUCGAACCUGUGCCUUUCUGCGCGUCACGCAUUGUCUAAGCACCUUAACAAUUCGACCACCGACGCCCAAGAAUGCCUGUGAGUAAUGUUUAAUAAAUAUUUGUAGUUAAUAUUAUUGAGUUCCCCGUGUGGUUCCCGCCAGCGCCGUGUGGUUCCCGGCACUAAUAGAAAUAGAUUAAGACCACUCCAUCUCUCUCCCAUGGAUGUCGUAAAAGGCGACUAAGGGAUAGGCUUACAAACUUGGGAUUCUUUUCUAGGCGAUGGGCCAGCAACCUGUCACUAUUUGAAUCUCAAUUCUAUCUUAAAGCCAAAUAGCUGAAGGUGGCCUAUCAGACCGUUGGCUCUGUCUACCCCGCAAGAGAUAUAGACGUGAUUAUAUGUAUGUAUUAUUGAGGUCACCUACCAUUUAUGACACAGGUCAUAUACGUCAAGUUAACGAGAUCAUCGAAGUGGAAGUCCUUAUUCCCGAUUCUUUGUUUCAGUUCUACUAUCUCGUGGUACAACUUGUCCUGAAACGACAGAUAAUCAACAAUCUUAAUUGUAAAGAACUCAGUUGCCGUGUGGUUCCCGGCACCAGUAGAAAAAAGAAUAGGACCACACCAUAUCUUUCCCAUAGAUGUCGUAAAAGGCGACUAAGGGAUAGGCUUAUAAUCUUGGGAUUCUUCUUUUAGGUGAUGGGCUAGCAACCUGUCACUAUUUGAAUCUCAAUUCUAUCUUAAACCCAAUCAGCUGAACGUAGCCUCUCAGUCUUUUCAAGACUGUUGGCUGUGUCUACCCCGCAAAUGAUAUAGACGUAAUUAUAUGUAUGUAUAUAAGAACUCAAUUGUAUAUAUUACUUCAAGGUUCUUAAAAGGGAUAUUUAUUUGUUACUAGAUUUUACCCGCCGCUUCGCCCGCGUAAAUUUAGCGCCAUUUACAAAAGGCGACGAAUUUAACGCCAUCUACAAAAUAAUACGUACAGGUUUUUCGCUAGUCCCACGGGAAUUAUAGUUUUUACCGGGAUGAGAGGUACCCUAUGUUCUUCUCCAGAAUUCAGAAAUUCAAGAAAAUUGGUUCAGUAGAUAACCGGUAAAAAAGAAGUUACAAACAAAAAAAAAAAACAAUCUUUUCAAACUUCCCCGUAGAUGUCGUAAAAGGCGACUAAGGGAUAGGCUUAAAAACUUGAGAUUCUUAUUUAGGCGAUGGGCUAGCAUCCUGUCUCUAUUUGAAUCUCUAUUCAUCAUAUCAUUAAGCCAAACAGCUGAACGUGGCCUAUCAGUCUUUUCAAGACUACCUUUCCUUUUUCUGUCUAACCCGUAAGGGAUAUGGACGUAACUAUAUGAAUGAAAGAAUUGAUUACCUGAACUUCAGGGUGGAAAGCCAAUUCGUACGUAGUGAAUGUAAGAGCUGAGCCUGACGUAUCAAAGCCUCCUUGUAAAAAGAUAGCCGCUUGCGCAAUAAUAGCAUCCUCGGUUAUUCCUGAAAAAAUAUUUAAUACAUACAUAUAAUCACGUCUAUAUACCUUGCAGGGUAGACAGGGCCAACAGUCUCGAAAAGACUGAUAGGCCUCGUUCAGCUGUUUGGCUUAAUGAUAGAAUUGAAUAAAAAUAUAGGAUUCUUGUUCUAGGUGAAGGGCUAGUAACCUGUCACUAUUUGAUUUAUAUUAUUUAACUAGCCUCCCCCGCGACUCCGUCCGCGCGGAUGUCGGUCUUCGCGUAGAUGGUUUAUUUCUCCAUUUUAUUUUCAGUCCGGUCAAUUUAGACCAAAAAAUAGGAAUAAAGCUACAUUAAUUCCCAUCAAGCUGAAAAUGAGUAUAAUUGUUUAAAACACAAUCAAAAGCAUUAUUUCAAAAUUCCCCAUGAUUCCGGUUUAAAGAAAAAAAUUACCCAAGGUCAAAGGUAAAAUAAUGGGUUUUUCUCGAUUUUCUUCAAAACGGUUAGUUUUAUCGGAAAAUUACCUCAGACAUAGAUUGUAGAUCAUAAAGUUAUCAAUAACGAUAUAACGAUGCAAAAAGUUGCAAGGGUCAUAAUAUGCAUAAGCACGUCUCGUAUAUACUCUGUGUAGCAUUAAUAUAAGUAAAAUGCUGUUCUGUCGGUAAUUUUAACUUGAAUUCAAAAUAUAAAAUAUACAUAAGAAUGAAACCCAGUCCCUUCAUUUAUACUGUAGGGAAGCCUUGAGACAACAUUUGUCUCUCUGUUUAAUUGUGUACCUGGUAACACAUGAAAUACCGUUAGUCUUUAAUAAUAGUAUUCCUAGCGGGGAUACCGUUGUCGGCUAUGGACACCACGGCCUCUCAUGCCCUAGGAGUGGGGGCCAUUUAGGGCGCCAUGCCGCCCUAAAUGAUAUAAUCCUCCGUGCUCUUGCCACCAUCUAUGUUCCAGCCGUUCUAGAACCAAACGGUCUGGCUCAGGAUAAUGCCAAAAGACCGGAUGGUAUGACUUUGGUACCCUGGAGAUUGGGGCGGCCUUUGGUGUGGGAUGCUAGUUGUGUCGACACAUUUGCGCCGUUUCAUCUUCAGGUUACUAAAUCUAAGGCCGGUUCUGCUCCAAAUGAGGCAAAAUACCUCAAAAGGCGCAAAUAUGUAGUUAUCGGUAAUAUCUAUACUGUUGAACCUUUUGGGGUAGAAACUCUGGGACCUAUCUGCCCAUCAGCUUUUUCGAGAAUUGUCGAAAAAGCUGAUUGAGGUAUCUCUUGACCGGAGGGCUGGAAAUUAUCUGGCUCGAGAAUCAGCAUUGCCAUUCAAAUUGGCAAUGCUGCCAGCCGUCUGGGCACACUCCCGCAUGUUGAUACUAUGCAGGGACUGUACAAUUUAUAAAUUAAAUUUUAGUUUGUAUUCAUCUUUUUUCUUUCUUUUUAUAAGUAGUUUUAGUUUUAAUUUGAUAUAUUUGUAAUCUCUAUUAUUGCCCUAAGAUGAUUUUCUCCACUUAGGGUUAUUCUAAUUUUUUUAAAUAAUAAAUUUAAAUAAUAUAUGCGUAAGUUAGUCUUGAGUGCCACUGCGUAGUGAAAACACGUGUUUAUUCUAACCUAUUUCAGACUUUUUCAAGUUUAAUAAUAACAAUGUUAAAAAAAAUGCGCUAAUAGUACACUACCUCAGAGGUGGGGUGGAAACGUGUGCAUAUUAUGAGGCUUGCAACUUUUUGCAUCGUUAUAUCUCAGAAACGGUAACUUUGUUGAAAAAAAAUAUUGAUACCUUUUUUAUAGAUAACUUUAUGAUCUACAAUUUAUGCCUGAGGUAAUUUUCCAAAAAUUGCGAAACACCCAUUUUUUACCUUUGACCGUGAGUAAAUUUUUUUCCUUAAACCGGAAUCAUGGAGAUUUUUGAAAUAAUGCUUUUGAUUGUGUUUUAAACAAUUAUACUCAUUUUCAGCUUGAUGGGAAUUAAUGUAGCUAUGUAGUAUUUUUUUCAUAGUAAUUAGUAGUGGCCCGCUUGUGCAGCAAACGGUUCAAGCCAAAGCCGACUUUCGGUGCUACAGGUUACGACGCUAAAUCCACUGCGGGUAACGCAACGUGUGUUCGCGGUUCUACAGAACAACGUCUAUGGAUAAAACUGAAAAAUUAAGAUUAAUUUUUUUUCAACGUAUUUUUCCAGGAUAAAAAGUAUCCUAUUUUAUGCCCAGGAUAAUAAGGUAUAAUUAUACCAAGUUUCAUCGAAAUCGAACCGUUAGUUUUCACGUGAUGCCUGAACAUACAGACAGACAGACAAAAAUUUUUUUAAUCACAUAUUUGUGUUUGGUAUCGAUCCAGUAACACCCCCUGCUAUUUAUUUUUUCAAUAUUUUCAAUGUACAGAAUUGACCUUUCUACAGAUUUAUUAUAUGUAUAGAUUGAUAAUUAUUGUAUUUUUUUUAGUGCCGUAUGGUUCCCGGCACCAAAUAGAAAAAAGAAUAAGACCACUCCAUCACUCUCCCAUGGAUGUCGUAAAAGGCGACUAAGGCUUAUAAACUUGAAAUUCUUCUUUUAGGCGAUGGGCUAGCAACCCGUCACUAUUAGAAUCUCAAUUCUAUAUUAAAGCCAAAUAGCUGAACAUGGCCUAUUAGUCUUUACAAGACUGUUAGCUCUGUCUACCCCGUAAGGGAUAUAGACGUGAUUAUAUAUGUAUGUAUGUUGUAUUUUUACCCACCUUCAUUAGUGUCCUCUGCUUCCAGUUUUAUUUUCAGCAGUGCGUCCAUCAGGUCUCUUUUGUCACUCCCUUCAGUCCUUCUUUGUUCUUCUAUGGAGUGAAACACUUUCUUGAAAUAAUCCGUUGCUUUCUUCGGGAACA